UACGGGGGGAGCAAGCGUUGUUCGGAUUUACUGGGCGUAAAGGGCGCGUAGGCGGUCAGUGCAAGUCAGUUGUGAAAUCUCCGGGCUUAACUCGGAACGGUCAACUGAUACUGCUCGACUAGAGUGCGGAAGGGGCAACUGGAAUUCUUGGUGUAGCGGUGAAAUGCGUAGAUAUCAAGAGGAACACCUGCGGCGAAGGCGGGUUGCUGGGCCGACACUGACGCUGAAGCGCGAAAGCUAGGGGAGCGAACGGG
rnacentral:rRNA from 1 species